rnacentral:lncRNA from 1 species
UGGAGGUAAUGCUAAUCUGUAGGCGGCAGUACAAAUCCUGUCUAAGACUUCAUAUAGUCUAAUAAAUCGGGGGUUCAGUUUUCCCCUCCUGCCGAAUCUACUUAUUCCUUUGAAAUGAGUGACCUUAAGGAACACUCGAUCGCCUUGUCCAAACGUUAAAUCUCUCAUCCGGGUGUCCGCAUAACUCUUCUGCCUACUCUGAGCCGUCUAAAUGUUCUUUCUGAUUUUAACUAUUUUAGACGUGGUCUCCUCCACCAACUCCGAGCUGAACAAUUU